rnacentral:rRNA from 1 species
AUUGAACGCUGGCGGCAGGCUUAACACAUGCAAGUCGAACGAGAGGCGGACGGGUGAGUAAUGUCUGAGAAACUGACUGAUGGAGGGGGAUAACUACUGGAAACGGUAACUAAUACCGCAUACCAUCAGAUGUGCCCAGAGGGGAUUAGCUAGUUGGUGGGGUAAGGGAUCACCAAGGGGACGAUCCCUAGCUGGUCUGAGAGGAUGACAAGCCAUACUGGAACGGAGACACGGUCCAGACUCCUCCGUGAGGCAGCAGUGGGGAUUAUUGCACAAUGGGCGCAAGCCUGAUGCAGCCAGGCCGCGUGUAGGAAGAAGGCCUUCGGGUUGUAAAGUACUUUCAGCGGGGAGGCGUUACCCGCAGAAGAAGCACCGGCUAACUCCGUGCCAGCAGCCGCGGUAAUUC